rnacentral:rRNA from 1 species
CCUACGGGAGGCAGCAGUCGAGAAUCAUUCACAAUGGGGGAAACCCUGAUGGUGCGACGCCGCGUGGGGGAAUGAAGGUCUUCGGAUUGUAAACCCCUGUCAUGUGGGAGCAAAUUAAAAAGAUAGUACCACAAGAGGAAGAGACGGCUAACUCUGUGCCAGCAGCCGAGGUAAUACAGAGGUCUCAAGCGUUGUUCGGAAUCACUGGGCGUAAAGCGUGCGUAGGCUGUUUCGUAAGUCGUGUGUGAAAGUCGCGGGCUCAAGCCGCGUACGGCAGAUGAUACUGCGAGACUAGAGUAAUGGAGGGGGAAGCGGAAUUCUAGGUGUAGCAGUGAAAUGCGUAGAUAUGGAGAGGAACACUCGUGGCGAAGGCGGGUUCCUGGACAUUAACUGACGCUGAGGCACGAAGGCCAGGGGAGCGAAAGGGAUUAGAUACCCCUGUAGUC